GACGAACGCUGGCGGCGUGCUUAACACAUGCAAGUCGAACGGAAAGGCCCUGCUUUUGUGGGGUGCUCGAGUGGCGAACGGGUGAGUAACACGUGAGUAACCUGCCCUUGACUUUGGGAUAACUUCAGGAAACUGGGGCUAAUACCGGAUAGGAGCUCCUGCUGCAUGGUGGGGGUUGGAAAGUUUCGGCGGUUGGGGAUGGACUCGCGGCUUAUCAGCUUGUUGGUGGGGUAGUGGCUUACCAAGGCUUUGACGGGUAGCCGGCCUGAGAGGGUGACCGGCCACAUUGGGACUGAGAUACGGCCCAGACGCCUACGGGAGGCAGCAGUGGGGGAUAUUGCACAAUGGGCGGAAGCCUGAUGCAGCAACGCCGCGUGCGGGAUGACGGCCUUCGGGUUGUAAACCGCUUUCGCCUGUGACGAAGCGUGAGUGACGGUAAUGGGUAAAGAAGCACCGGCUAACUACGUG
rnacentral:rRNA from 1 species